rnacentral:lncRNA from 1 species
GCGCGAGGCUGUCAACCAUCAUCACGCCCCCCUCCCAUCCUCACGAGACAGGAAUAUAUCUCAAUCAUCCCGUUACAGGUAAAUGUGAGGUUUUAUUGAAAUUUCUGUAUCAUCUUUUUAUUUUUCCUUGUUUUCAAGAUGCAGCACAUCGUGUUUCUGAAUUUAUUUGCCUAUUUGAAAAACAGGGAAAAAUAUUGUAUUCGUUUUUAGUGUUUACCCAUGUGACCCAUGGUUUUAAUCAUAGACUGUGUAUAUACUCUAUACUAUAUUAUAUAUAGAUUAUAUAGACAGCCUUUGAUUAUAAGUGGUCGAACCAGGUCUUUUUUAUGUAAGGAAAAAAUGACAUGAUUUGUGAGUAGGUUUAACAUCUCAGCUAUAAUAUAAUAAUUGUGCCAUCUAGAGAUUACCUUUUACAAGCCCAAAUCCUGAAAAGUUGGGAUGCAAUGUUAAAUGUACAUCAAAAAUUGUGAUGGUUUGCAUCUCACUCAAACCUUUUAUUUGAAUAAAAGCAAUGUAAAGACAUCAUAUUCAAUGUGGAAAACAGUAAAUUUUAUGGUUCAUGAAGAUAUGCUGUUUUGAUAUGAAAAAUGUCGGGAUCAGGACAACAAAACCUUGAGAAAGUUGUGUAAUCCAAAAAACAAAACACCUGAAGGGAACAACGCCCAGAUAAAUGGAUGGGUUAAUUUACAACAGCUGGGUAAAAUCACAAAGUAUGAAAAAGACAUUUCUGAGAGGAGAGAUGGGAUGUUCACCAUCACUGUGAGAAACUGUGUGAGUAAAUAGUUCAACAGCAGCAGGAUAAAACUCCCCUGAAUUAAGAAUUUUAGUUUGAAUCAUGUACAUAAUAAAAUAAUAAGAACAUGAAAUUCUGGAGAAAUCUUUGUUGAAAAAGGGACAGGGUAGAAAAUCAACUCUUUAUAAUGAUAAAAAAAAUGAAAUCCAAGAGCAUAUUAUACAACGCUCAGAAGCAUGUCAAAAAAGACAAAUAAAUAAAUAAAUAAAACACAAUAACCUAAAUGAACUCUGAAUGAACCCAGGCAGUGCGGGGACAAAACUACAUAAAAAGAGACCUGAGGCCCAGAGAUAAAAGAGCAUAUAGAAAGACCAAAUAGAGUUUAAGUUUAGAGGAAAAAAUGGCUGGAAUUUUUCAGUCUCUCACAUGGCACUGCUUUAACAACCAAUAUGACUCACAUGCUCAAGAUAUAAUUUAAACCAUUUUUUGUGAACACAGUUUAUUGUUAAAUCCACAAAUGCACAGUAAAACUCUGCCAAAUAAUAAUAAUAAUAAUAAUAAUAAUAAUAAUAAUAUCUUACAUUUGUAUAGCGCCUUUCAAGAUACCCAUACAAGUGAUCCAGAAAUGGACUGUGGCCAAGUGGAGAAGUGCCCUGUGAUUUUACAAACCAAAUUUGACAUUAUUUUUGGUAAUCAUAGAUGCCCUGUUCUCUGCUGUAAAGAAGACUGUGACCAUCUUGUCAUUAGUGCACAGUUCAAAAGCCAGCAUUCAUAUGGAGAUGCAUGAGUGUUCAAGGCUAGGGUCAUAAUUUUAUCUCAGAAAGCACCAUCAAUGCUGAACAGUAUAUUCGGGUUUAAGAGCAAUGUAUGCUGCCAAAAAGAUCCUUUCUUUUUCAAACAAGACAACGCCAAACCACAUUCUGCAUGAAGUAACAUGGCUCUGUAGUUUUAGAGUCCAUUUGCUAAACUGGCCUGUCUGCAGUCCAGAUUUGUCACCUACUAAAAUAUCUGGCCCAUCAUCAAACAGAAAGUAUGAAGGAGGAGAUCCUUAGCUGUUAAGCAGCUAAAAUCCAUCAGCAGGAACAGGACAAUGUUUCACUUUAAUAACUCAGAACUGGGGCAGCACAGUGUUGUAGUGGUUAGCACUGUCGCCUCACAGCAAGAAGGUCCUGGGUUCGAAUCCAGGUCAGGGCAUUUCUGUGUGGAGUUUGCAUGUUCUCCCUGUGUCUGCGUGGGUUUACUCCAGGUACUCUGGUUUCCUCCCACAUACCAAAAACAUGCCUAAGUGGGGUUAGGUUAAUUGGCCACUUCCAGGUUGCCCAUAGGUGUGAAUGGUUGUUCGUCUCUAUUUGCAGCCCUGCGAUGAACUGGCGUCUUGUCCAGGGUGUCCCCUGCCUUCACCCAAAAGAUGCUGGGAAAAUACCUACACAGCAUGCUGGGAUAGGCUCCAGCCCCCGCGACCCUGGGAACAGGGAUAAGAGGUAGAAAAUGGAUGGAUGGAACUCAGAACUUGUCUCCUUGUUCCUCAAAUGAGGGUUUAUAACAAAGAGACGAUGCUGCAGGAUGGAAAAAAUGUUGGUGUUCUGACUUAAUAAAUGUGUUGCUGGUAUUGAAUUAAAAGUCAGCAUGUAUUUUUCCUCAAACCUUUGAAAUCUCCACUUUCAACAUUUGAUAUGUGUUGAUAUGUGUGUUUGAACUACUGUUGAGUGAAUACAGCAUUUAAAAUGAUUGGCAAAUCAUUAUAUUCUAUUUCUAUAAACAUUUAACACAAUAUACCAACUUUU